CAGGCUUAACACAUGCAAGUCGAGGGGCAGCAUGGUCUUAGCUUGCUAAGGCCGAUGGCGACCGGCGCACGGGUGAGUAACACGUAUCCAACCUGCCGUCUACUCUUGGACAGCCUUCUGAAAGGAAGAUUAAUACAAGAUGGCAUCAUGAGUCCGCAUGUUCACAUGAUUAAAGGUAUUCCGGUAGACGAUGGGGAUGCGUUCCAUUAGAUAGUAGGCGGGGUAACGGCCCACCUAGUCUUCGAUGGAUAGGGGUUCUGAGAGGAAGGUCCCCCACAUUGGAACUGAGACACGGUCCAAACUCCUACGGGAGGCAGCAGUGAGGAAUAUUGGUCAAUGGGCGAGAGCCUGAACCAGCCAAGUAGCGUGAAGGAUGACUGCCUUAUGGGUUGUAAACUUCUUUUAUAAAGGAAUAAAGUCGGGUAUGGAUACCCGUUUGCAUGUACUUUAUGAAUAAGGAUCGGCUAACUCCGUGCCAGCAGCCGCGGUAAUACGGAGGAUUCGAGCGUUAUCCGGAUUUAUUGGGUUUAAAGGGAGCGUAGAUGGAUGUUUAAGUCAGUUGUGAAAGUUUGCGGCUCAACCGUAAAAUUGCAGUUGAUACUGGAUAUCUUGAGUGCAGUUGAGGCAGGCGGAAUUCGUGGUGUAGCGGUGAAAUGCUUAGAUAUCACGAAGAACUCCGAUUGCGAAGGCAGCCUGCUAAGCUGCAACUGACAUUGAGGCUCGAAAGUGUGGGUAUCAAACAGGAUUAGAUACCCUGGUAGUCCACACGGUAAACGAUGAAUACUCGCUGUUUGCGAUAUACGGCAAGCGGCCAAGCGAAAGCGUUAAGUAUUCCACCUGGGGAGUACGCCGGCAACGGUGAAACUCAAAGGAAUUGACGGGGGCCCGCACAAGCGGAGGAACAUGUGGUUUAAUUCGAUGAUACGCGAGGAACCUUACCCGGGCCUAAAUUGCAGAUGAAUUACGGUGAAAGCCGUAAGCCGCAAGGCAUCUGUGAAGGUGCUGCAUGGUUGUCGUCAGCUCGUGCCGUGAGGUGUCGGCUUAAGUGCCAUAACGAGCGCAACCCUUGUUGUCAGUUACUAACAGGUUCUGCUGAGGACUCUGACAAGACUGCCAUCGUAAGAUGUGAGGAAGGUGGGGAUGACGUCAAAUCAGCACGGCCCUUACGUCCGGGGCUACACACGUGUUACAAUGGGGGGUACAGAGGGCCGCUACCACGCGAGUGGAUGCCAAUCCCAAAAACCUCUCUCAGUUCGGACUGGAGUCUGCAGCCCGACUCCACGAAGCUGGAUUCGCUAGUAAUCGCGCAUCAGCCACGGCGCGGUGAAUACGUUCCCGGGCCUUGUACACACCGCCCGUCAAGCCAUGGGAGCCGGGGGUACCUGAAGUGCGUAACCGCGAGGAGCGCCCUAGGGUAAAACUGGUGACUGG
rnacentral:rRNA from 1 species